rnacentral:tRNA from 2 species
CGGCUCUUAGCUGAGAUGGAUUAGCUACCGGUUGAAACCCGGUGUAGGUUGGAUCGUUACCAACAGAGUCGGC